GACCCGCCUGCACAAAGCCGCGUCCUCGCGUCCCCGCGUCCCCGCCGCCGCCUCGGGCCGCCGCGCGCGGCCCCUCCUCCUCUCCUCCCGCCGCCGCCUCGGCCGCUUCUUCCGCUUUUUUUUUUUUUUAAUUUAGAUGUGAUGUUUGUUUCGAGCUCUCGCCUUGCGCACGGUUAAAGUCGCGGCGGCAGAAUUAUCGGAAGAUUCCUGCAGGGGAAAGAAGAGAGAGACGAGUCAGCUCCGGCGCCGGCGGAGCCCCGGCUCUCGGCACCUGGGGAAGGAAAACACGCCCCAACACACGCGCCUCUGCGGGCGCCAAAAAUAACCCGCGCGGGCCGGGCGCCCACCCCGGGGCAACCCGCGCCCACCUCAGGGGCCCCAGGCACCCACCCCGAGAGCUGCUGCAACUGUCAGUCACCCACCCGGAACCCCGAGGGGCAACUACCAAGUAGGCCUCGGGGCCCGGAACAAGGGUCCCGGGGCUCAGGAUCUCGGCCGCUGCGCCUCACUCCUGCCCCAGCCCCGCGCACGGAACUCGUUUCCUUCCCACCCAGUUCGGGACACUCCUCUCUGACUUCCCCAGUAGGAUCUCACUUGCAGCGCUACAGCCAGUCCCUCUUCUGGUUCUCACGCACCCACUUAAGGCGGAGUGACUGGCCUAAAAGUCCAAGCUGAUCGUGUGGCUUCCGUUCGUAAAUAUCUCCCCUGGAUCUCCCUCCCUGGAGCCAGACAAGACUCAAAACUCCGAAGGGAAUGCAGUCCCCGCAGGGCGCAAAGGAGAAACUAAUAGUCCAGAGGCGGGGUGAACUUAAAGACCUGGCUUUCAUUAGCGUGGUGUUGUAACAGACUGCCAAGGAGCCUCUGAGGAAAUGGAUUUACGUACAUAUACAUACUCGCCCUUGCCCCUGAAGCAACAUCAAAUACUUUCAUGUUAUUCUUGGGGGCGUUUUAAUUCUUCCGAUCCUCUGAAUUCGUGUUUUUGUACAUCUCUUUCCAACCUGGGCCUACACACUAACAGAAAUAGUUUUUUACAUCGAAGGACAAUGCUUAGUGUUUUAUUCAGUCUCAGCUCUUUUCUUUCUUUUUUCUCGUUGUGUUUCAAAAUGUUUAUUUUUUCUGUCUUGUGAUAGUUUUGGAGGAAAAAUAUUGAAAUAAUUCAAAUCAGGCUCUUAACUCUGCUUUAUUAAAUUUAUAGUCAUAGUAGCCUGUGAGUAUGCUUCGGGGGAGGAAAAAAGAAUGCUGGGGUCUUUAUUCUUCAAGUUCUCUAAGUUUGAUAUUUUGAAUAAACACCCAGAGGUGUCUCUGCCUUUUGUGUGUUAGUAUCUAAUCUUUCCUGCAUUUACGAGUCACUAGUAAAAUGCUAUGAAAGCCAUAGAUCCCAUGGCUCUCACUGUGAUUUUCCUGGGCUGAGUAGGGACUUAGUGAUGUUUAACCCCCAGUAUGCUUUUUAUAGAAGCACCAGCUGAUUCACCAGUGCCCUCCAAAGUGAGCACCUAUCCAUCUCACUCUGGACUCCCAACAGGUCAUACCAGGGAGCUUCGUUGAAAUAGACUUGGCAUUUAAAUUAAAAUGUUUCCCAAAGCAUCUUGGCAGACCUGUAACUAAUGAUGCCAGAGGCCCAAGGCCUGUGCCAGGUUCCCUUUUAUUCCCAUAAGUGCUUGUCUCCCACAAGCCACUGGUCACACGCCUGCUGAUGUUAUAGAAGCACUUCUUCAUCCCACAAACAGCCCAACUGUAGGUACCCUAUCUCAGACAUGGUGAAGGGAAGCAGCAUGUUCCUCUGACAUGUGCGAUGCUUGGCUCCCAACAGGCUUUUUAUAAUAAGCUAAACUCAGAUUUUUUCAUCACAAAUAGCGU
rnacentral:lncRNA from 1 species